UGAAUUUUCAGUCUGAUUCACAAUUUCACAUUAACUGGAGACUUUGUAGCCUCAAUUGUGCUCUGAUUUGCCUUCAAAAUUUCAACUUUAUCAUUAAAUUUUUUACUUUGAGUCCGAUUCACAUAAGGAAAGAGAGGUCCAAAACACAGAAACAGAGAGACAAAGAGAGAGGACGCAAUAGAUUUCGAGCCAUAUGAAGAUUCAUCUUCAUUAUUAUUUGGUAAAUAGAUGAAGAAUCAGUGUCAAAAUUAAAACUUGGAGACACUAAAUUUUGAGUCAGAGGAAGACAAUAUGAGGGACGAAGAUCUG
rnacentral:lncRNA from 1 species